AGCCCUGGGAAGAGGGCCUGGGCCUCUGUGGAGCACCUACUGUGUGCUAGGUCCGAGAUAAGCAGGAGCCAGUGAAAUCCACAAGCCGGCCCCAGGGACUAGACCCUGAGCCAUUUGACUGAGGAGGUGGCAGCCACACUUCAGAGAGGGGGGAGCUUGGCCAAGGUCACACAACAGAGGGCCAGGCAGAUGGACAAGGAGCCCGCCGCCAGGAGGCGCUCAGUGCCCCAAAUAGGCCCAACUUGC